rnacentral:lncRNA from 10 species
GGGCAGGGCUGGCGCUGCGGCGGGAGAUGCUGUCGGGCCGCGGCGGCGCUUGGCAGCCAGGAGCUCUGCAUUGAAGGCACUGGGGCGCUCGCGACUCGGCGACGGCGGCCGCAGUGGGACACGGAGGCGGGGCCGGGCACCUGUGCGCGUUUGCAGGCACCUGCUGCGCUGGCCGCCUCGCAGCCCGGGACUGCUGCUGGGGACUGCGGCUGGAGCUGGGCUGGCCCGGCCCGAGGGAGAGGGGGGCCCAGCUGGCUCGCCCCGGCCCGUGCCCGCCCUCCCCGGCCGGGUCCCGACCCCGAGCUCUGGUUAAGGGGGCGUCGCCGGGCCCCAGAGCCCCCCCACUGGAGGGGCCCGCGGCUCCCGGGCCAGCAUCGAGCUAGCUGCGAGGCCAGGACAGGGCCCCCGCCUUGCAUCACCUCGAGACAGGUAAAGUGAAUGCCGAAGACAGAAGAUUUGGAUGAUACACCACUGACUUUCUUUGUUUGGAAUACACGUUAUGAACCCUUUCUGGAGCAUGUCUACAAGCUCUGUACGCAAA